UACAGAGGGGGCAAGCGUUGUUCGGAAUUACUGGGCGUAAAGGGCGCGUAGGCGGCCUUCUAAGUCGAACGUGAAAUCCCUGGGCUCAACCCAGGAACUGCGUCCGAUACUGGAAGGCUUGAAUCCGGGAGAGGGAUGCGGAAUUCCAGGUGUAGCGGUGAAAUGCGUAGAUAUUGGGAGGAACACCAGUGGCGAAGGCGGCUCACUGGACCGGAACUGACGCUGAGGCGCGAAAGCGGUGGGGAGCAAACAGG
rnacentral:rRNA from 1 species